ACAGAGUUAUCCAUCAGCCACUGCCACCGCCACCGCCACCGCCGCCAUGCUCCCCGACUCCCCGCUCGCCGUCGUCUUCUCCCCUCCCACUGCAAAUCCGUGCGCCCAAGAUCCCCUACCGCUGCGUAGAUGCCCCACUUCCAGACCGCCGGAUCAACGCCGCCGAUCCCGUCCAAACCCACCGGCCCCCAUGUCGUCCACCGUGACCUACAGCAGUCGCGGCGACUCCCUAUUCCUCUCCCUCCGCGCCCUGGAGUCUCUGGUUGGUCUGUGUUUGUUUCAAACAAGGUGGUCAGGCGUACGUCCUGUGCCUCUCUUUGUUGCUGCACCUCGUUUGAGACGAAAACAGACCAACCGGAGUCUCCUGGCAUAGCAUCAUCAGGAAUUAUAUAAUCUCUUCUUGCCUCAGGAGAUGGGAUGCAGCAGGUUCCAUCUCCAAUUGCAAGCUUCCUAGUAGUAUCGGUCAGGGCCAGGCCGUGAGAAGUGCCAGUUUCUAUUGAUCAAUAAUGGUUACAAUUCAAUCAAUUUCUGUUGUUGCAAUUCAUGUAGCUUUUGGGCUAAGUUGGUUUGAAUCGUUUGAUUUAGGGACAUGGACUUGGUGCCGCGAACUCAUGUUGUCCAAACCUGUUCUGUUGUGAACCAACGUAUGUGCAAGACCUAUAUGGGCUAUGACCCCCUAACUAUAUUUGCCACCCAUGGAUGGAAACCUACAUCACGAAGAGUCAUCUCCAGCUGCUGAUGCCUGUAGGAUUUCCUUGGUUAGCUCCUUACAAGUUGAUAUUGUCAUAUGAAAGGGAAUUGAUGAAACAGUCGACUGAAUUGAUGAAACAGUGGACUGAAGCUCAUCCCCCUAGGUCCAAGGAAUUGAUGAAUUGUUAGUUCCUGGAAGAAGCUGAUGUGUGCCACUCACCGGAGGGGAUUAAUGAAGCUCUUAUAGGUGGUGAAAUCCUUUUUUUGGUCAACUGACUGAUUCGAGCAAAUCUUCGAGGUUGGUGCUCAUAUUUUUGUUUGUGGGGAGUUCUUCACUUGACAAAUCCGUAACGGCUGCUGUCAGGUAAUUAGUUCAGACGUGGGACUGUUUUACCUCAUCUCUUCAUGCAAAUAUAAUCCAAACAUUGUCUAUUUAUAUCAUGGUGUUUCCAUCAAGAUGUUAACUGAACUUCAAAACAAAUCAGUUCGUUGUGAUCACCUAAUUGCCUUAAGUUAUUUGAGACCUGAAAAGCUGGGCCUGUUUAGAAUUGGCUUGCUAUGAUGCUACAGUACUAACAAGUCACAGGUGGUUAAGAGACCUUUAAAUAGAUCCGUUGAGUUUAUAAUUUAUUUAUCAUGGUGUCAUGUAUGCAUUGCGACACAUUCUACCACACUGGCUAGAUGUUUGAUUUGACAGUGUCAUUUGAUAUUCUUUGGAGGUCUCAUUUUUUGAGGAAGGAGAGCCUAAACUUGAUGGGAAACCUAGAGACUUUGAAGGUUUGCUUUGCCCUUUGGUUGAGAUUUAGCAUGGCAUUGAUGUGACUAACUUUUAUUUAUGUGUGCUGUGACUAACUCCGUCUUAAAAGAGUAACUUAUUGAGCAGUUAAUAGUUCGGACAUCAUCACAUGAUCGCUUCAGAAGUGAAGUCACCAACCUGCAUGCAACUCCCUGGUAUAUUUCUAGAGCUUGAGCCCAAUUCUUCAGUUUCUGCAAGAUGGUUUCUAAGCACUUGAGUAAAUUUCACUUAUUAUUCUUAAUUCACUUUUCAGUCUUACUAAAUAAUACGUUGAUUAGAAUUUAUCACUUGAUAAGGCUGCUAUUAUGUUUGUGUACAUGUAAUAACAAGCACUUUCCAGGCAUAAACACAUGCUACAGUAAUGCAUUCACGUAAGCUUAUACUCCAAACUUUAGUGUGCAAAGGUGGUGCUACUUGAAUUCUGCACUAACUCAUAAUAACCUUUGCUGUGAGUUUCCUGUAAUUGAAAUGUGUUGCAGUGUGCAUCUGUAUAUGACCAUUGUAUGCUGUAUGAUUCAUGAUCUAUAAUUAAUCAGUCAUGAUCUCCAUUUGUCUGAUAAGAGAAGAGCACUAUUCUGUUCUCAUUUAGUUUCUUUCCUACUGAUGGAACAGAAAUACUACACAUUCCUAGCUUUUGUCUUUUCUACUCUUAAUAGUUCUGAUAUGUACCGAUUGUAUAUUUGUUUCUUGGUCUCAUACUGACCGGAGAGAACAAUUACUAUACUUGACUGGCCCCUACCCUAUGAAGAUAAAAUAUUAUCUGCGCCAUGCUAAAUAAUUACCAUUACUAGCAUAUUUUCCCAUUUAAAAUAUAUAUCAUAUGUAAUGCUCACUGUCCAACUAUCAGCUUGAAAAUAUAUCUGCAAAUAAACUGAUGGCUUCAGUAGAUCCAAAGUUCAAGGAAGCUAUCCUUAAAUAUGUACAACUCCAGCUGUGUAUACAUCUUAAAAAAUAUCUAUGUACUAGACCAUAUAUACGUGAUAUUCCUAAUUAAGUCCUAAGAUAGUAAUAUUUAUACGAUGAUUAUCUAAACCUGCAUUGUUUUGCCAUCUCGUUUCAAAGGGACAUUCCUACCUGUUUGCCCACUGUUCAUAAAAGCAGCACACAGAAAAAUAUUUAUUAUAUGACCUGUUCACUGUUGUGCCUUCGUAGAAGUAUGUGUGAUUCAUAUUUCCAUAAGUUUUUUGAACAUGGCUAAUGUUCAUUUUGCAUAUGGUUCAUAAUAAAAUAUGAUGUUUGCUCCUUAAAAACCCUGGUAACUUCUCUAUGGCCUUUGGCAAAUUAUAGGCCCUACUGUUGCACAAUCAAUUCUACCAGUUACUUUCCAUGUAUAUAGUUUUAUCUACUGAUAAAACACAACAUCAGUUUUUCUUUUACCAGAAGUACAAUAUAUUUCUCCUCUUUCCAUAUGUAAGAUCUUUAUUGCUCUUUGUGCAUAAUUUUACCAUAUCUAUACCCUUCUAAUAGAUUCAUGCCGCACUUCUGUUUUCUCUGUAUACACCACUGCCACCAUAUUGAGCUUAACAACAACAACAAAGCUUUUAGUCCCAAACAAGUUGGGGUAGCCUAGAGGUGAAACCCAUAAGAUCUCGCAACCAACUCAUGGCUCUGGCAUAUGGAUAGCAAGCUUCCACGCACCCUUGUCCAUAUGUAGCUCUUUGGUGAUACUCCAAUUCUUUAGGUCCCUCUUUGGUG